rnacentral:rRNA from 1 species
UGCUAUACUGCAAGUUGAGCGCUGAAGGUUGGUACUUGUACCAACUGGAUGAGCAGCGAACGGGUGAGUAACGCGUGGGGAAUCUGCCUUUGAGCGGGGGACAACAUUUGGAAACGAAUGCUAAUACCGCAUAAAAACUUUAAACACAAGUUUUAAGUUUGAAAGAUGCAAUUGCAUCACUCAAAGAUGAUCCCGCGUUGUAUUAGCUAGUUGGUGAGGUAAAGGCUCACCAAGGCGAUGAUACAUAGCCGACCUGAGAGGGUGAUCGGCCACAUUGGGACUGAGACACGGCCCAAACUCCUACGGGAGGCAGCAGUAGGGAAUCUUCGGCAAUGGACGAAAGUCUGACCGAGCAACGCCGCGUGAGUGAAGAAGGUUUUCGGAUCGUAAAACUCUGUUGGUAGAGAAGAACGUUGGUGAGAGUGGAAAGCUCAUCAAGUGACGGUAACUACCCAGAAAGGGACGGCUAACUACGUGCCAGCAGCCGCGGUAAUACGUAGGUCCCGAGCGUUGUCCGGAUUUAUUGGGCGUAAAGCGAGCGCAGGUGGUUUAUUAAGUCUGGUGUAAAAGGCAGUGGCUCAACCAUUGUAUGCAUUGGAAACUGGUAGACUUGAGUGCAGGAGAGGAGAGUGGAAUUCCAUGUGUAGCGGUGAAAUGCGUAGAUAUAUGGAGGAACACCGGUGGCGAAAGCGGCUCUCUGGCCUGUAACUGACACUGAGGCUCGAAAGCGUGGGGAGCAAACAGGAUUAGAUACCCUGGUAGUCCACGCCGUAAACGAUGAGUGCUAGAUGUAGGGAGCUAUAAGUUCUCUGUAUCGCAGCUAACGCAAUAAGCACUCCGCCUGGGGAGUACGACCGCAAGGUUGAAACUCAAAGGAAUUGACGGGGGCCCGCACAAGCGGUGGAGCAUGUGGUUUAAUUCGAAGCAACGCGAAGAACCUUACCAGGUCUUGACAUACUCGUGCUAUUCCUAGAAAAUAGGAAGUUCCUUCGGGACACGGGAUACAGGUGGUGCAUGGUUGUCGUCAGCUCGUGUCGUGAGAAGUUGGGGUUAAGUCCCGCAACGAGCGCAACCCCUAUUGUUAGUUGCCAUCAUUAAAUUGGGGACUCUAACGAGACUGCCGGUGAAAACCGGAGGAGAGAGGUGGGGGUGAAAUUCAAAUAAUUUUGCCCCUAUUAACUGGGGGUACACACGGCUCCAAAGGAAGGGGCAACCAACCCGCCGACAAA